CAAACCCCCGGUGAGGUUCAGGGAAACACAAGGGGAUCCCCGACAUAAGGACGGGCGGUAUAUAAGCUCCGGAGGAUCGAACUCAACGCAUCUUGCACUCGACCUGCAUCCAGACAACAUUUCCAAGAUGAAGCUGAUUUCUUUGUUGAUGGCCGUGGCUGUGGCCCUGUCAUGCUUCCUGGGAUCUGCACGCGCUAUGCCCGAGCCCUAUGCCCUGGCAGACGCUGACCCGGUGGCUGAUCCUGACCCUUGGCGCUAUGGUCAUGGCCGCAGGUAUGGCUACCAUGGCCAUUACGGACACCGUCGUCGUUAUUACCGCUGGUGAAAAGGAUCUUUGUCACGCAAUUGCUUUUAAAAGAUCUUAUCGAGUUUGCAUGGAAUUUCAAAUACAUCAUGGAAAGAGAUAGAUUUGGCCAAUAUGAAUAAAGACUGAAAAACAAUA
rnacentral:lncRNA from 1 species